rnacentral:rRNA from 1 species
UCAGUGGCUCACGGGUGCGUAACACGUAAGUAAUCUACCCUCAAGACGGGCAUAAUCCGCCGAAAGGCGGACUAAUUUCCGAUGAUGAUAUUCGAAGACAUCUUUGAAUAUUUAAAGCAGCAAUGCACUUGGGGAUGAGCUUGCGGCCUAUCAGCUAGUUGGCGGGGUAAAGGCCCACCAAGGCUAUGACGGGUAGCUGGUCUGAGAGGACGGACAGCCACACUGGAACUGAGACACGGUCCAGACUCCUACGGGAGGCAGCAGUGAGGAAUAUUCCGCAAUGGGCGAAGCCUGACGGAGCGACGCCGCGUGGGUGAUGAAGUCUUUCGGGAUGUAAAACCCUUUCGGCCGGGACGAUAAUGACGGUACCGGCAGAAGAAGCCCCGGCUAACUACGUGCCAGCAGCCGCGGUAAUACGUAGGGGGCGAGCGUUGUCCGGAAUUACUGGGCGUAAAGGGCACGUAGGCGGCCUUGCAAGUCAGAUGUUAAAGGUGGAAGCUUAACUUUCACAGCGCAUCUGAUACUGCUUGGCUGGAGAAUGGGAGAGGGAAACGAAAUCUCCGGUGUAGCGGUGAAAUGCGUAGAUAUCGGAAAGAACACCAGUGGCGAAGGCGGUUUCCUGGACCAUUUCUGACGCUGAGGUGCGAAAGCUAGGGGAGCAAACAGGAUUAGAUACCCUGGUAGUCCUAGCUGUAAACGAUGGUCACUUGGUGUGGGAGGUAUCGACCCCCCCUGUGCCGUAGCUAACGCGUUUAGUGACCCGCCUGGGAAGUACGGUCGCAAGAUUAAAACUCAAAAGAAUUGACGGGGGCCCGCACAAGCGGUGGAGCAUGUGGUUUAAUUCGAUGCUACGCGAAGAACCUUACCUGGGCUUGACAUGUUAGGAGUAGUCCGAUGGAAACAUUGGGCGACCGUAAAAUCGGAGCUUAACACAGGUGCUGCAUGGCUGUCGUCAGCUCGUGUCGUGAGAUGUUGGGUUAAGUCCCGCAACGAGCGCAACCCCUAUUGUUAGUUGCCAGCGGAUAAUGCCGGGCACUCUGACGAAACUGCCCAUGAUAAAUGGGAGGAAGGCGGGGACGACGUCAAGUCAUCAUGGCCCUUACGUCCAGGGCCACACACGUGCUACAAUGGUACAUACAAAGGGAAGCCAACCCGCAAGGCGGAGCAAAUCCCAAAAAGUGUGCCUCAGUUCGGAUUGCAGGCUGCAACUCGCCUGCAUGAAGUUGGAAUCGCUAGUAACCGCAGAUCAGCGCGCUGCGGUGAAUACGUUCUCGGGCCUUGUACACACCGCCCGUCACACCAUGAAAGAUGGGAACACCCGAAGU